CCCGCUGAACUUAAGCAUAUCAAUAAGCGGAGGAAAAGAAACUAACAAGGAUUCCCCUAGUAACUGCGAGUGAAGCGGGAAAAGCUCAAAUUUAAAAUCUGGCGUUCGCGAGGACGUCCGAGUUGUAAUCUAGAGAAGCACCUUCGGUGCUGGACCGUGUACAAGUCUCUUGGAAUGGAGCAUCAUAGAGGGUGACAAUCCCGUCUCUGACACGGAUUUACCAGCGCUGCGCAGAAGUGCUUUCAAAGAGUCGAGUUGUUUGGGAAUGCAGCUCAAAAUGGGUGGUAAAUUCCAUCUAAAGCUAAAUAUUGGCGAGAGACCGAUAGCGAACAAGUACCGUGAGGGAAAGAUGAAAAGAACUUUGAAAAGAGAGUUAAACAGUACGUGAAAUUGUUGAAAGGGAAACGAUUCAAGUCAGACACGUCGACCAGUAAUCAACCUCCGCCCUUUGCGGGGGCUCACUUUCUGGGCUCAACGGGUCAGCAUCAAUUUCAACCGCCAGAUAAAGCCAUGAGGAAUGUGGCAUCUUCGGAUGUGUUAUAGCCUCCUGUUCGCAUGUGGUGGUUGGGAUUGAGGAACUUGACACGACCUUUCGGGGUUUCCGGGAUCACGAUCCACGUAAACGUGUCUUGGAUGCUGGCAUAAUGGCUUGAACCGACCCGUCUUGAAACACGG
rnacentral:rRNA from 1 species